CGACCGGCCACACUGGGACUGAGACACGGCCCAGACUCCUACGGGAGGCAGCAGUGGGGAAUAUUGCACAAUGGGCGAAAGCCUGAUGCAGCGACGCCGCGUGAGGGAUGACGGCCUUCGGGUUGUAAACCUCUUUCAGCAGGGAAGAAGCGAAAGUGACGGUACCUGCAGAAGAAGCGCCGGCUAACUACGUGCCAGCAGCCGCGGUAAUACGUAGGGCGCAAGCGUUGUCCGGAAUUAUUGGGCGUAAAGAGCUCGUAGGCGGCUUGUCACGUCGGGUGUGAAAGCCCGGGGCUUAACCCCGGGUCUGCAUCCGAUACGGGCAGGCUAGAGUGUGGUAGGGGAGAUCGGAAUUCCUGGUGUAGCGGUGAAAUGCGCAGAUAUCAGGAGGAACACCGGUGGCGAAGGCGGAUCUCUGGGCCAUUACUGACGCUGAGGAGCGAAAGCGUGGGGAGCGAACAGGAUUAGAUACCCUGGUAGUCCACGCCGUAAACGUUGGGAACUAGGUGUUGGCGACAUUCCACGUCGUCGGUGCCGCAGCUAACGCAUUAAGUUCCCCGCCU
rnacentral:rRNA from 1 species